rnacentral:rRNA from 1 species
AGUGAACGCUGGCGGUAGGCCUAACACAUGCAAGUCGAACGGCGGCACAGUAAGAGCUUGCUCUUACGGGUGGCGAGUGGCGGACGGGUGAGGAAUACAUCGGAAUCUACUUUUUCGUGGGGGAUAACGUAGGGAAACUUACGCUAAUACCGCAUACGACCUACGGGUGAAAUCAUGGGAUCUUCGGACCUUGCGCGAUUGAAUGAGCCGAUGUCGGAUUAGCUAGUUGGCGGGGUAAAGGCCCACAAAGGCGACGAUCCGUAGCUGGUCUGAGAGGAUGAUCAGCCACACUGGAACUGAGACACGGUCCAGACUCCUACGGGAGGCAGCAGUGGGGAAUAUUGGACAAUGGGCGCAAGCCUGAUCCAGCCAUACCGCGUGGGUGAAGAAGGCCUUCGGGUUGUAAAGCCCUUUUGUUGGGAAAGAAAAGCAGCAGGUUAAUACCCCGCUGUUCUGACGGUACCCAAAGAAUAAGCACCGGCUAACUUCGUG